rnacentral:tRNA from 4 species
GCCUCUGUAGCUCAGUAGGUAGAGCAGAGGACUGAAAAUCCUCGUGUCGUUGGUUCGAUUCCGACCGGAGGCACCA